CAGUAAAGUUAGUUUAAAUUAUAUAAAACGCGUCCAAUGUUUUGACAUUUUUACAUGCUAUCGCGACACAAAACUUUAUUGAUGUAGACGUCAUUGUUUAAAAUUAAGUAGUUUCGAAUAACAUCCCGCGCGCACACACACACACACACUAUCAACACGUGCUGAGGUAAAACAGCUGCUUGUAUCGGUAAACACGCGUGAAUGACAGAAAAUCGAUUAAACAUCUGACCAUUUCACACCUACUUGACACUGUGGUUAUCUAGUUAAAGUACAAUGCAAGAAAACAUUUUGUUAUGCAUGGCACUGUAUAAGCUCCCCAUCUGCAGCGAGACAUCUUUAAAGAUGUGUGCAGUACCUCUGUUUGUGCAUUAAUGCUUGAAGAACUUUAUCCCUGUCCCCUGGCUGAAUCUCCUUUUUGCUAACCAGGGUAUCCACAAUCUUCUCAAUAAUACUGGAGAGCGUCUUCUCCUCUCUGUCCAGCAUCAUCACACCUUAUCCAAGACAAAAAUGAAAAAAAGGAAGUGAAUGCAAAGGAGAGAGGAAGACAAAGGAGAGGACGAGGGGUUUAACCGAAGCUGAGCUUUACUAUAGUAAACAUAAACAGCAGGACUCAAUGAGGAGCACGGGCUGAGCUGGUUUUACAGGACUUUAACUAUCUGCUGUGACCAUCUCAUCUGAGCCUCAGCACUGAGUACAUUGGAAGCAUCUGGGCUGAAACGUGUCCUCACCGGUGUUCAUUGUCCUGCGUAUCUGCACAAGGCUCUUAAAGGUGAGGUAGGAGAUGUGAGAAGGGCUCCAUCGACCCGCCUCCACAUCAUAUGUCUCUUCAUAACCUGCCCAUCUGCCCAUCUCCUGCCAGUAGCUCUGCUGGUUCGGGCUCUUCGCAGACUCAUUCAUCUCCAUGUAAGCCUGGCCACACAAAACACCAGAAUGCCACAAUAAAAAAAAUAUCUCACUGCUAACAUCAAAGGGUUAGUUAACCCAAAUUUUUAAAUUAUGUUAUUAAUUACUUACCCUCAUGUCAUUUUAAUACCAUGAAACCUGCAUUCAUCUUUUGAUCAUAAGUAAAGAUAUUUAAGAUGAAGUAUAGGAGCUCUCAUUAUUUUUAAAAUAUGCUCCAAGUGAUGUUUAGCUACGAAAUUUUUACAUUAUUUUCUGCAAUAUUUUUUAAUUCAUAAUAUUAGCUCUGAUACAAUUUUAUUUUUUAAUUGUC
rnacentral:lncRNA from 1 species